rnacentral:rRNA from 1 species
CCAGACUCCUACGGGAGGCAGCAGUGGGGAAUCUUCCGCAAUGGGCGCAAGCCUGACGGAGCAACGCCGCGUGAGUGAAGAAGGUCUUCGGAUCGUAAAGCUCUGUUGACGGGGACGAACGUGCGGAGUGCGAACAGCGCUUUGUAAUGACGGUACCUGUCGAGGAAGCCACGGCUAACUACGUGCCAGCAGCCGCGGUAAUACGUAGGUGGCGAGCGUUGUCCGGAAUCAUUGGGCGUAAAGGGAGCGCAGGCGGGCCGGUAAGUCUUACUUAAAAGUGCGGGGCUCAACCCCGUGAUGGGAGAGAAACUAUCGGUCUUGAGUACAGGAGAGGAAAGCGGAAUUCCCAGUGUAGCGGUGAAAUGCGUAGAUAUUGGGAAGAACACCAGUGGCGAAGGCGGCUUUCUGGACUGCAACUGACGCUGAGGCUCGAAAGCCAGGGGAGCGAACGGGAUUAGAUACCCCGGUAGUCCUGGCCGUAAACGAUGGAUACUAGGUGUGGGAGGUAUCGACCCCUACCGUGCCGGAGUUAACGCAAUAAGUAUCCCGCCUGGGGAGUACGGCCGCAAGGCUGAAACUCAAAGGAAUUGACGGGGGCCCGCACAAG